GACGAACGCUGGCGGCGUGCUUAACACAUGCAAGUCGAACGAAGAGCGAUGGAAGCUUGCUUCUAUCAAUCUUAGUGGCGAACGGGUGAGUAACGCGUAAUCAACCUGCCCUUCAGAGGGGGACAACAGUUGGAAACGACUUCUAAUACCGCAUACGAUCUAAUCUCGGCAUCGAGGAUAGAUGAAAGGUAGCCUCUACAUGUAAGCUAUCACUGAAGGAGGGGAUUGCGUCUGAUUAGCGAGUUGGAGGGGUAACGGCCCACCAAGGCGAUGAUCAGUAGCCGGUCGGAGAGGAUGAACGGCCACAUUGGGACUGAGACACGGCCCAGACUCCUACGGGAGGCAGCAGUGGGGAAUCUUCCGCAAUGGACGAAAGUCUGACGGAGCAACGCCGCGUGAGUGAUGACGGCCUUCGGGUUGUAAAGCUCUGUUAAUCGGGAAGAAAGGCCUUCUUGCGAAUAGUGAGAAGGAUUGACGGUACCGGAAGAGAAAGCCACGGCUAACUACGUG
rnacentral:rRNA from 1 species